GAGUUUGCAAGUGCCUCACUCCUCCUCCCAGAGGGACUUGCGCGAACAGUAGCACUCCUCCUCCCAGCUGCUGUUCAUUUGUUUUAAAAAGCCUGUCGCACCUCCUCCCGCGACAGGCUUUUUUA
rnacentral:sRNA from 1 species